UUUUUUAUGGCAGAAUAGUGCAAUGGAUUUAAAUCCCAUAUAUAAAAAUAUUUUUUGUUAGAAAU
rnacentral:tRNA from 1 species